UUAAAAAUUACCAGCAUUUCACAAUAAUUAACAGUAUUAUUUUACAGCAACUUGUUGUAAUUAAGUUUCCCUGUAAUAUCCCAAUGAAUACCUGUAAAAACUACAAUAUCCUUGGAUUUUACAACAUUUAACUCUUAUUUUACAGUAAAAUCUUGCAAUCUCAAACGUGCUGUUAUAUCACAACAAGGUCUGUCAUAUCACAGCAACACAGUGAAAGAAAUUAAGGAUUUCACAGCAUUAAACAGUAUUAUUACAGUGAAAUAUUGAAUUGAAAUAUGAUCUGGGAAGUCACAUGACAUAACCGAACUGUUUUGAACAGAAGGCGCCAUCGUGUCCCUCUUCUAUUCCGGGCUGAAUGGAGAAGGUGAGCAGCAUGCAUGUUUGCAGCACUUACACCCAUGUUAUUUUAAUAUGAUAAUAAAAUUUACUUUCAAAUAAACGUUUAUCGCAUGACACAGUUCACAUUUUGUUAGCAAUUGCCCGGAAUUGUUGAAAGUUCUCUCACAGCAUUUGCUAAUAGUAGUAAUGUUUGUAAUAACGAGAGUUUCGCUAUACUUUUUCAUGUCACUAUCACCGUUUAGACAAAUCUGUUGUUUGUAAAGUUUAUAAAACCAACGAUGGGACAAACAUUACUAUUUAUGUGUGCACAUUUCUGUAAUUAGUCAAGGUUAUCAUAGAUUAGCAGGGCUAACCGUUAGCUGCUUAACUUUAAUAAUUUAGUGAUUCAAACGGUCAAUGAAAAAAUAUUUUUCUAGCGGAUAACCUAGUUACAACAUGACUGAGCUAACUCAAGUAAGUUAGUCUCAUGUCGUGUUCGACAACGGGAGGGUUUUACCAGUUCCCACUUGUCCUUAUAUGAAUAAAUAAUAAUUGUAAAAAUUGUAAAUGCACUUUACAUUGAGUGAGCAAUCUCAAAGUGCUAAAGAAAAAACACACUAUAUGAGUAAUUCUAGAAUUGGGGGUACAUUUCGAGUCUCCCAGAUAAACCUUUUAUUUAAAAAACAAACAAAACUUUUUUGAAUCAGUUUUGAAUAAGAACACAAAUGAUAUUACACUAUCACUAAAAAUAAUGCUUUAUGUAUAUUUAGAAUGCAACUGGGACUACAUUCAUGUGCUGCGUGAUAUCACUGCGCCCAUGGUACGUUUGCAACGUUCCUUGAUUAUUACGCCAGAAUGAGAGUAUAGUUCCAUGUCAAAUCAGCCUAGAAAAUUGCCACGUUUCAUUUUCUGUUAGUUUUAUUGCACGUUCUAACUUGAGAAGAGACCACUUUUAAAUAGGAAAAAUUCCUGAAAUCUUAGUCACUUUGCGGGCGAGAUGCUAAUGGUCUAAUCCAAUCCAAUGAUCUAUGCUCGGCUGGAGCUAUACGUGGUAUCGCCAGACUCAGGGAACUGCUGGAUGAACGGGAGAAAGGUAAAAAUCAAUUGUUUUACUCGAGGGGAGGUGGAAAAUGAUCUUAAUUCCCCAAAUGGUCGAAUAUCCCUUUAAUUAGUUUGAUAAAAUACACCUGUGUUUACAACACUAUUACACUGAAUAUUACUUCUGUGGGAUGGGUCUAUUUAGACAGUCACAACAGGGAAUCAAACUGCUGACCCUUCAGUCAUGAGACGACUUGCUCCAACUUCUGAGCUAUAACCGUCCCCAAUAGUAUUGUUACCCUGUGAUGCCCACUCCUAGGAUUGUCAGGUGGGGCCCAGCAGAUUUGCCAGAGGGGAGGCAACGUUGGAGAAUAUGAAGAGGGAUCUGCUGAACAUCUACUCAGGCAUGCCAUCUACUGUCUUUUUGGAGGAAGGAAUGAGUGGGGCAGAGAGAGCAGAACCAAUGAUGGAAAAGACAUACGUCAUCCUGCGGAAAUACCUUAACAAAGUGCAUGCUGCAGCGAUGUCUGCGAUCAACAGGAAUGGCCAUUUCUCUUCUCUGAGAAAUGCCUAUUCUCACACUUUGGCCUCCUGAUGGACGUAAAUGUCCUUCAGAAGCUACAGGAGGAAAUAAGUCGACGAGGAAAGACCAUCUUUGAUUACUGUGCAACACUGGACAACCCCAAGAUCUGUGAUGUUCUGGCCUGCUAUGAUCCGGACUCUGACAAGGCUGCCUGCAUCCUGCUGCUCCUAAUGUUGUACUUCAAAGAGAGUUUGAAGCUUGAAGUUGAUCCAUGUGCCACUGUUGUGGACGUCAAAACUCCCCAGCACCCCCUGCUUGAUCAUUCAAGGUGACAUGAUGAAGCCCUCUGGAUGGCUUAUAUCCAUCGAGGGACAUGACGUGAUGGGCCCACACCCUUUCUUUUUACACGGAGUAGCAGCUUUCUUCAGCUGCUAUUACGUCUUCAACAUUGAGUAUCCUGCCGCUGGAUCGUCCACGCUGGAGUUCAUUCAAAGGUGCUUCCUGGGCAUCAAUCCUGAAAGAGGCUCAAAGACCAAGAAGCGGACAACAAUGAACUCUCAUGUGAGCACCCUUUUGAGGAAACUUAUUGACUUUGAGUGGGCAUCAUCGCUUUUUUUGCAGCGGUAGUUGUCAGGCUCAGUUUUGAGUAGCCUUGUUCUUUUUGUAAUUUUUCAAGACAACUUUGCACUACAAAAUUUUUACACAAUGCUGUUGCGUGUGGACUCAUUAUAAUGUUUGAGACUGAAAGGAGCGCCUGACCCCUUUACGACAUUCCUUCAUCGCUCUCUCCCUUGCUCUCUUGCCAUCAAGGCCUCAUUCCCAUCCUGUCCAUUACUGUUAUUGUGACACAGCUAGUUGAAUAGUUGAAUUGUGAGAUAGGUAGUUGAAUUACAAGUUUGCCCAAUUUCUAUGCAUUUUCUGUAUUUUAA